AAAGAUGGUGUAGUCAGUGAAGACGCAAGCAAGAGAGCUGUUACAGGUUUCCGCCAAAGAAAAUGUUUCGAGAAGGAGAGGGUAACUGGCCAGAUACUAUCAAGAGCAGAGCAUUGACUGCUGUGUCUUACUUAGCAACAUGGAGGGCACUGCUGGAUACGGAUUCGUUGGAAAGUAUCAGAAUGAAGACAAGACCGUCUGUUGUCAACAUUUCAACGUUUUGGGGGAGAUCUUAGCCAGUAAGGCUCAUUCGGACUAGAGUCCCUGGUUCCAGGCGUGACAUGAUGGGGC